AUGGCCGCCGCCGUCCCCAACGGCCACCCCUCCGCCGACGGCGACGAUAGUCCCCCGUCCCCACCGCCGUCCUCGUCCUCGUCCUCGCUGGUGUUCCUGGGCACUGGCUGCUCCAGCGCCGUCCCCAACGCGCGGUGCCUGAUCCAGCCCUCCGACCCGCCCUGCGCCGUCUGCUCCCAGUCCCUCUCCGUGCCCCCGGAGGUAAACCCCAACUACNNGUGUAAUACUUCUCUUCUGAUUGAUUAUUGCCAAGAUGAAGGUGCACACAAGUAUAUUAUAAUUGAUGUUGGGAAGACAUUCCGAGAACAAGUUCUGCGGUGGUUUGUUUGCCACAAAAUCCCUUGUGUUGAUUCUAUUAUUCUGACUCAUGAGCACGCAGAUGCAAUCUUGGGACUUGAUGAUAUUCGGGUUGUACAGCCAUUUAGUCCUACAAAUGAUAUUGAUCCAACCCCUAUUUAUCUCUCACAAUAUGCCAUGGACAGCAUUUCCCAAAAGUUUCCAUACUUGGUCAAAAAGAAACUGAAGGAAGGCGAGGAGGUCAGGCGGGUUGCUCAACUUGACUGGAGAAUAAUUGAGAGUGAUCUUCAGAAACCGUUUACUGCCUCGGGCCUACAGUUUGUUCCCUUGCCGGUGAUCCAUGGAGAGGACUACAUUUGUCUGGGUUUCCUUUUCGGAAGAAAAUCUAAAGUUGCUUAUAUAUCCGAUGUUUCACGGUUUCCUCCUAGCACAGAAGAUGCAAUUUCAAAGUCUGGAGGGGGUCAGCUAGAUUUGCUCAUCUUGGACUGCCUAUACAGGACUGGUUCUCAUAACGUGCAUCUUUGUUGGGAUCAGACACUAGAUGCUAUUAAGAGGAUAUGCCCCAAGAAGGCAUUGCUCAUUGGGUUGACUCAUGAGAUGGACCAUCACAAGGACAACCAGACAUUGGAAGAAUGGUCGAGAAGAGAGGGGAUUGAUGUGCAGUUAGCUCGUGAUGGCUUGCGUGUCUACAUUGAUCUGUAG
rnacentral:rRNA from 1 species